rnacentral:rRNA from 1 species
CUAGCGGCGGACGGGUGAGUAACGCGUGGGAACAUACCCUUCACUACGGAAUAGUCCCGGGAAACUGGGUUUAAUACCGUAUACGCCCUUCGGGGGAAAGAAUUUCGGUGAAGGAUUGGCCCGCGUUAGAUUAGGUAGUUGGUGGGGUAACGGCCUACCAAGCCUACGAUCUAUAGCUGGUUUUAGAGGAUGAUCAGCCACACUGGGACUGAGACACGGCCCAGACUCCUACGGGAGGCAGCAGUGAGGAAUCUUAGACAAUGGGGGCAACCCUGAUCUAGCCAUGCCGCGUGUGUGAUGAAGGCCUUAGGGUCGUAAAGCACUUUCGCCAGGGAUGAUAAUGACAGUACCUGGUAAAGAAACCCCGGCUAACUCCGUGCCAGCAGCCGCGGUAAUACGGAGGGGGUUAGCGUUGUUCGGAAUUACUGGGCGUAAAAGCGCACGUAGGCGGAUCGGAAAGUUGGGGGUGAAAUCCCGGGGCUCAACCCCGGAACUGCCUCCAAAACUAUCGGUCUGGAGUUCGAGAGAGGUGAGUGGAAUUCCGAGUGUAGAGGUGAAAUUCGUAGAUAUUCGGAGGAACACCAGUGGCGAAGGCGGCUCACUGGCUCGAUACUGACGCUGAGGUGCGAAAGUGUGGGGAGCAAACAGGAUUAGAUACCCUGGUAGUCCACACCGUAAACGAUGAAUGCCAGUCGUCGGGUAGCAUGCUAUUCGGUGACACACCUAACGGAUUAAGCAUUCCGCCUGGGGAGUACGGUCGCAAGAUUAAAACUCAAAGGAAUUGACGGGGGCCC